rnacentral:misc_RNA from 1 species
AAGUCGUAACAAGGUUUCCGUAGGUGAACCUGCGGAAGGAUCAUUAAUGAUACUUUUAGCGGGGAUUUAUCCCAAUGCUAAAUAUAACCAAUGUGUAUUUGUAUAGAGUGGGUUUUAGAGUGGUUUUUUUGGGUCUAGUUUUUUUUCCCGAUGCUAUUUUUUCAGCUUUAAAGUGACUGAAAAAAAUGCAUGGAUAAUAACAAACAUGGGCGAAUUUGAACAAGAGUUUUUAUAGUGAUACCUUUUUUAAUGCUUAAGAGUGAUACAUUAAUAAGAAAUAACUAUUAACGAUGGAUCCCUCGGCUCUUA